rnacentral:rRNA from 1 species
CCUACGGGUGGCAGCAGUGGGGAAUAUUGCACAAUGGGGGAAACCCUGAUGCAGCGACGCCGCGUGAGUGAUGAAGUAUUUCGGUAUGUAAAGCUCUAUCAGCAGGGAAGAUAAUGACGGUACCUGACUAAGAAGCUCCGGCUAAAUACGUGCCAGCAGCCGCGGUAAUACGUAGGGAGCAAGCGUUAUCCGGAUUUACUGGGUGUAAAGGGAGCGCAGACGGCAGGGCAAGUCUGAUGUGAAAGUCCGGGGCUCAACCCCGGGACUGCAUUGGAAACUGUCCGGCUAGAGUGCAGAAGAGGAGAGUGGAACUCGAUGUGUAGCGGUGAAAUGCGUAGAUAUAUGGAAGAACACCAGUGGCGAAAGCGGCUCUCUGGUCUGUAACUGACGCUGAGGUUCGAAAGCGUGGGUAGCAAACAGGAUUAGAUACCCGGGUAGUC